CUCAAACUCUGGUUUAUAUCACUAUUUAAAAUAAUAUUAUAUAAGUAAAAGAAUUGAAUUUUAUCCACAAAAAAGUACUGAGAAGGAAAGUUUCGUUAAUUUUAAAGAAGUUAUUUAUUAUACCUUUUGUAUCAGGGUUUAUCUAAUUUUGACCAGUAUUGUCAAAUCCCGAAAUAAGGUGAUCUAUGUUAAUUAAAGAUGACUGUUUCAUAAUUCUCUUCAAGAUUAAUGUCGGUGUAAAAAAUAUUUCGUACCUUUAUAUCUGGUUGGCAUAAGACUCCUUUAGGGUACUCCACAAGGAAGAUUUUCUAGGGGACGAGCUCUAGAAAAAAUUACAUCAAACCACCGUCAGUGAUAUGAAUAGGCUUAAAAGUUGCCAGGGUGUAAUAACCAGGCUCACUUAGAUAAUAAUUUAAAGUUGAUUAAUUCAACCUAGCCAGUGCUGGUUAUUAAUAUCCAGCAGUUAUAAUGAUAAAAUUAGUAUAAGUAUAAAAAUAUAAUAGA
rnacentral:rRNA from 1 species